UACCGAGGGUGCGAGCGUUAAUCGGAAUUACUGGGCGUAAAGCGUGCGUAGACGGUUAUGUAAGUCGGGUGUGAAAGCCCCGGGCUCAACCUGGGAACUGCAUCUGUGACUGCAUCGCUGGAGUGCGGCAGAGGGGGAUGGAAUUCCGCGUGUAGCAGUGAAAUGCGUAGAUAUGCGGAGGAACACCGAUGGCGAAGGCAAUCCCCUGGGCCUGCACUGACGCUCAUGCACGAAAGCGUGGGGAGCAAACAGG
rnacentral:rRNA from 1 species